rnacentral:lncRNA from 1 species
UCUGAUGCUCUGGUGCGCAGGAAGUUUUGCUCUGCUGCUACAGCUUAUGGAAGAUUUGAUGAGUUUGUCGUGGUGAUGCUGUUACUACCGAACCGAGAGUAAUAUGUCUUCUAUCAGUUAGUUGCUUAAUAGACUACAAAAACUUAGGUAAUCUGGAGAAUGGUUAUGUUUCAUCCGUGUUUUUCCUUAAUCAUCUACGGGCUUUUGGUGGUGACGGUGAAUGUGUAGACACUUUGUCAACCGAGCAAGGCUGUAUGCUUGGUUAUACUAUUAUCGUUAUGGUUGCUGGCUUACUGCUGCGGUUCUGCACUUUAUUUCCGUCUCUGAUCUAUCCAUUCAUGGUUAUUAAUGGUUUGCAUCUCUAGAUGAUUGCUUGAUGGUAUGUAGACAUCUCUAUUCUUACCAAUGCGUGAAAUGAGUUCAACUGUUUGACAUGUUACAACUUAUUACUUCGUUUCCUGCCAUUUGAUGAUUGUUGGAUUUAGUACUAGUGGAAUCUUGUUAUGUUCUAGUAUUUGUUUCAUCACCCAAAUGUAUGGAAAUUUAGUUGGAUGAUUUAGCUUUGGUGCCGUGGUAUGCGUCAUGUUGUUCCUUGCACAUAAGCAAUGAAAAUGCCUUGCAUGCUGAUUGCUGUUUAAACUGAAAGCUGCUUUUAACAGUACUUCCUUUGCAAAAUGACGAUUUUAUGGAAUCUGGAUUUCCCCUUCCGUGAAUUCGUUGCUGGUGUGACCUGUGCUUUCUUGUUUACUCAUGAUGCUUGUUAGAGCUUUGCUUCCAUUUGGAUUUUGUGGUUGUAGAAUUCCUUCACCUUUAUCCGUUUUAUUGCUUGCCUUGUGGAUGUUGGUAGUUUAAAUAUUGGUGUUCACUUUUAAUUUUAGACAGUGACAUGUUUUGUUUACAUGUUUUCCUUGUGUGACCGGUAUCUAUGCAUAUGCCUUUCUUGGGCACGUGAAUGGUCAUGCCCUCUUGCGACUAUGUGGUUGGCAUUGCUGCUUCAUUUCUGCAUCACAUCUAUGCAUGAGGCAUGUUAUAUGUUUGUUAUUGCUGGUUUGGCAACUGUAUGCUUUAGGCUUAAGUUAGUUGAGGGAUGCAUUUAAUCUGCAAAUGUGUUAUACAGAGCCAUUUGUUGGGGCCAUGAAUGGCACACCCUCUUGUGAUUGUGUGGUUGGCAUUGCUACUUUAUUUCAUUUUGUACUCUUGGCAUGCUGUAUAUUUGUGAUCACUGGUUUAGCAAGUGUAUGCUGCAAGGCUUAAGUACUUGAGUUAUGCAUAUGUUCUGUAUAUAUAAAUGUGUUAUGCCGAUAGAGCCAUAUUGCUAAUUUGUCCCACUGUUUCUUUUCGGAUAUAUCAUAUAUAAAUUCAUUUUGUAUUGCUAUUUGGUCCCUCCCGAGUGUCUGCAUGUCGUAGUUCCCAUCACCAGACUUCUAUCAUCUCCUUGGACUGAUUGUCAAUAUCUGAACAUGGCUGGAUUUGCCUUUACUGUUUGUUGCCAUUGUAGAGCUUUCUGUAUCAUGGUUGUUAGCAUAUUUUGAUUCUGAUUUACAGAUUGUGGGGAUUUGGGUCCAUAGUAUUGUUUGGUAGAACUCUCAUUUGAUUUGCUUCUUUCAACUUCAUUGUAAUUGAAUAUGGCUGUCAAUAGGUACCACCAAAGCUUGUUCAAUUUUCUAGAUUGUCUGAUAUGCCAUUUGUCAGGCUACUUCAUUUGAUAUUUUUUUCAUCUGAAUGUAAUUACCGCCUGGUAAAUGCCUUCCGUAGCAGUCCAUGAGAUUAUCGUACCUGAUCUGUUUAUUGGGGGUACCUAUGCUCCUCAUUUAACUAAGGGUGUGUUUGGAUUGUGGCCAAAAUAGACCAUGCCAAUUAAUUGCUCACGUGCUCUAGCGCCACCGUCGCAGCCCAUAUGAAUGGUCAGACGUUUGUUUUUUGUGUUCUCUGUGCACUCCUAGUUUCAUUCUCUAGAGUUCCGAUGAUGGUUUUCUAAUUCAAUACCACUGCUGUUGUGUUUAUUUUUCGGUACAGUAGGCUGAUGUGUGUCUUUUACUAUAUUUUAAUGAAAAAAAGUCCAUUUUACUCCCCUGAACAAAGUGGGUGGUUCACUUUACCCCCUGAUCUAUAUUUUGGUUCCUUCUACACCCCAAACAAAACCAAACCGGACAAAAAAAAAACCCGCUGGUUUGUCUCCAUUGGAUGCUGAUGUGGCACAGUCAAAGGGCGGUUUUGACCGUGGUGGGGCCUACUUGUCAGGUUGGAUUGUUAUAGAGCUGCCGUUUCCUGUUGCGAU